AACGAACGCUGGCGGCAUGCCUAACACAUGCAAGUCGAACGAGACCUUCGGGUCUAGUGGCGCACGGGUGCGUAACGCGUGGGAACCUGCCCUUAGGUUCGGAAUAACUCCCCGAAAGGGGUGCUAAUACCGGAUAAUGUCUUCGGACCAAAGAUUUAUCGCCUUUGGAUGGGCCCGCGUUGGAUUAGCUAGUUGGUAGGGUAAAAGCCUACCAAGGCGACGAUCCAUAGCUGGUCUGAGAGGAUGAUCAGCCACACUGGGACUGAGACACGGCCCAGACUCCUACGGGAGGCAGCAGUGGGGAAUAUUGGACGAUGGGCGAAAGCCUGAUCCAGCAAUGCCGCGUGAGUGAUGAAGGCCUUAGGGUUGUAAAGCUCUUUUACCCGGGAUGAUAAUGACAGUACCGGGUGAAUAAGCUCCGGCUAACUCCGUG
rnacentral:rRNA from 1 species